ensembl:lncRNA
AUGUGUUUAGGGACAUUCUUUGGUCAUAUAAUGCUCUGUGAAAUACUACAUUUUUUCAGGUAUAUUAAAAAGUACACUGAUACUGUUACUGGGGAGGCCCCUGCUAUAAGACAUCCUCUGGUCGCUGCAGCGAGCGGAUGUUCUCGCAGUCUCAGGGGCUCAGGCUGCCCGCUGGCACCUGACAGGCAGGACUCAGGGCGCGAAUGUAAUACGUCAUGCGGAAGUAGAUCCGCUAUAACUUCGACGUUACUUCCGUUCGCCGCCUCUCUCUCCGCGGCGACCUCAUGGCAACGCAGCGCGUUCACUUGCUCUCCCACUACUCGGACGUGAUGUCUGGUUGUUAAGCUGAUCAAGGAUGAGCUGAAGGUCCUUUCUGCAGGAACCCAGUUGGACUUCCAGAUGUCUUUGUCCACGCAUGAAGAAAGCCUGUGAGUCUUGACGCUGAAAAAAAGUUUGUUGAAUCAAACGCAAAAGAGAACGAUUUUAUUUAAAGAGGGAUUUCUUAAACUGAUUUACAGGCUAAUCGUGUAGUGGUACGGUGUGAAAAAUGGCUUCUGCUCCUGCACAAGUUUGAGACUUUACCUUAAACAGUCUACUUGUAGGUCCUUGCUUGAACUGUUUAUUCUAAUGUUUGUGGUAUGUAAUUUGCGUGUGUUUUUCCCUCCAGGAUUGUGCUGUAACCGGAUGAAGACCCGUUGACCGCAGCAGGGUCCAUUGUGGCCGACAAGGAACUGGUUAGUUAAUGAAAAAUAAGCAAAUUUGAGUCAUAUUUAAGUAGUGCCAAAUUAGAAGUUGCAACUAAACUACUAAAUGAAGUACACAUGUGUCUUGCUGCUAGAGCCUCAGUUGGGUCAAAAAUAACCACUAUUUUGUUGGUGGAAAAUGGUGAACCAUUGAAAUUGCCGAUAUCAAAUGAAUCGCUUUAUUUAAGAUGUGAACUAUUUAAGUUGUUAUGUUGUGGAAAGUUGGGGGGGGGGGGGACCAUUGCUUUUGUUGGCAUAUUGAUGUCGUUCUGAUAAAAGAACCUGACACUUUUUAAUCUGUCACUCCUAUUUUCUACUUCCAAUACAACAGCUUUGGUUGAGUGACUUUCUCUUGUGCAUUUGUACUACUAGACUAUUUUAGCGUUUUGCUAAAUAUUACUGCACUUAAUGUUUACUCAACGCAGGGCUUAUUUCAUUAAACUUCAACAUACAGCACACAAUUAAAGCCUGGCACCAAUCUUGUGGGUGUUUAGGUGUCGGAAGUGUGCCAGAGUGACUUGGCCGGGUUUUCGCUAACACCAUGAGGACUGCUGUCCCUUGACUGGCGUUUGAUAGUGACCUGAGCCACAUUCAACCUUAUAAAUGCAAAGGGGCACUUCCCCCCUUUGCCUCCUGUAAACAAUUUCUUCUCACGACUCCUUAUUUGACCCGUUGAUGGCAAAAAUGUUUUUUGGAAGAACUAAACAAGCAAAACUUGUCUCUGAACAGGGUUGGCACUCUGGAGACGCAUCUCCAGGUAGCUCAUCUGGUUUGACUUUACUUCCAGAGGUGAGUGGUGUGAAACCAGGAUUUUAUUUAUAUAGCGCUUUAAAAAGCACUAAAAAAUGUAACUUAAAAACAAUGACAAUUAAUGACUUCACUAGAAGAAAUGCAGGUACUGGUACUUUGUUUAAAAGCUGUGUAUAUUUCUUGAUAGAGAAGUGAGUUUGUAGACUUAAUACAUUUUGGGCAGAGAAUCAACCAAUAGUUGGCAGAUUACUAACUUUGCAUUAGAGUAAAUGUUGGUAACUAAGAAGGAUCACUGAAAGGAAAAGUACAGGGCACCAGUUCAUUUUUGACCAUUUACUACUUGGCUGUUAAAUGAGAAAUCCUGCCUUCGCCCAAUUGUUACAUAGCUUUGUUUUAAAUGUUAAGAUCCUACAGUAUUGUACACUCUCAGAGCUAGUUUCUUUAGAAGCUGCCAGAGGAUAAAUGUCAAAAUUAACCAAGCAUUCUAAUAAAAUAUUUUCACUUAUUUCUGUUCUAGUGUGCGCUCGAGUACCCAGACUGCUCCUGAAGGCCAUUCUGCAGACCUACAAUGAGGAUGCAAGAGCUCUGACUGGCCCGAUCAAAACAUAAGACACCUGAACAUAAUUUUGCUGAGAAAUCAAUAAAGUUGGCUGGUUAUUCAUACAUUGUUGUGUCAAUCUGCUUAAAAUUCAAAUAUUCAUUUAGCCAGUCCUCACAAAGCAAUGGAUAAAGGAUUGUAGUGGCAAUUUAUCCUUGUGCGUGAUACUCUUGUGUCAAAGGGCCACUGAUUCACCACAGGUUUGUUCUUUUUAUGCAUAAAGAGGGCAGAUGGCACAUGCAGACCUUUGGAAACAUUACAUCAAUACUCUCAUAAUGGAAAAAAACAAUAUCUCGCCCCGGUGCACAGUGGGCUUGUACCUGGCUAUGCCCUUUAAUCUCCAGGUGCCUACAGUAUUACCUAAUUAGUCAAGAAUGACUAUGUAAACCAGAACACGUUUCUUAAUUUAUCUUGCAAAUGCUAUUUAAAUACUAACUACAAAACAAUGGCUCUCAAAGAGAUUACACACUGAAGACACAGCGCACAACAUCAGUGUCAUUACGAAAUAAUUCAUGAAUGGGUCCUGUGCACGCACAUGUACAAAUCUAUCGUGCGUCCUACCUGACAAGUCAAACCAUAACCUCGUGAACAAAUUGUAUAUUUAAUUGUAAAAUUCACACCCCAGAUGGGACUCGAACCCACAAUCCCUGGCUUAGGAGGCCAGUGCCUUAUCCAUUAGGCCACUGGGGCUGAUCAACUAAACUAUCAAUAGUGUAAGAAUAAAUUCAUGUCUCUGUGUUUCAUGGCCGUGGCUUGCAUCGAGGCAGUCAUAAUUAAAAACCGCAUGGCCGCAGCCGUUUAUUUCCAUUCCGUUGCCAAGCAACGAACAAACUACUCUAUAAAGUGCAAUGAAGAAGAGUUGAUUUGUUUCCUGUUGACUUCAAAAUAAAUUUCCUACGAGAGAUGUUUUCUAAAAUCGCCACCGUGUCAGAAACUUUCUGUUUGAAGAUGGCAAUUGCUGCUCAGAUGUUUUCAAAAGAGGGCCGUGGUAGGGACUCUAACCCGAGCAGGUGUUAACUUCCCCACUGCAUUGUCAGAUCCUUUGCUUGUGCCCUUUAAUUUGAAAAUAUGAAAGCGGAAAGAUAAACUAACUACUCCACAUUAAACCCCGAUCAUCCAUUAAUAUCCCGCAGAAAAAGGUGCUUAACGUGUUAACUAUUAUCUUAAGUGCCGUGUUAGUAAGAUGCUUGUAUUUAGUCACAUUAGCUUGAAUAUUGGAUGCCGUUGAGGUUGAAUAGCUAACGGUAGGUGAGGUUAGCUAGCGUACCAGCUAACGUAAACGGUCUGUGUGUCGUUACCUAGGCUAGCGAUAAACAAGUCCUAGCUAGGAGACACCGGUCGACAUGGUAAGUUCGUGUUUCUACAUAUUUCUGAAAUGGCGUCGCAUGGACGACCCGACCAGAUUAUAGUUCUAAGACAACUUAAAGAAACGUAAACGUUUUGUGCCCCGGCAGAUCCUUUCUCGCAUGAAGCCAGCCGUUGGUGCGGAGACGCCGGUGAGCUUCAGUGAGAAGAAGAAGAAGACGAAGGUUCCCCCCCUGGAGGAAUACCUGCAGCAGAGAGACUACCUCGGGGCUUUCACGCUGUUAGAGGUGCCUACACAGGUUUCUGUGUGCUUCACUGUGGCUGAACAACUCCUAAGCCAUUUGUAGAGUUGGAAAAAUGCGCUUUGAAAAAAGCGCGAAUAGAAUCUCACAUGAUUAUUAUUGUUACAAGUAAUGAAUCGUACAGGAGCGGGAUUUC